rnacentral:rRNA from 1 species
UGGGGAAUUUUUCGCAAUGGGGGAAACCCUGACGAAGCAACGCCGCGUGGAGGAUGAAGGCCUUCGGGUCGUAAACUCCUGUCGACCGGGACGAACGUAGUCGGGUCCAAUACACCAGGCUAUCGACUGUACCGGUGGAGGAAGCCACGGCUAACUCUGUGCCAGCAGCCGCGGUAAUACAGAGGUGGCAAGCGUUGUUCGGAAUUACUGGGCGUAAAGGGCGCGUAGGCGGUUCGUUAAGUCCUGUGUGAAAUCCCCCGGCUCAACUGGGGAACGGCACAGGAAACUAGCGGGCUUGAGUUCGGGAGAGGGAAGCGGAAUUCCGGGUGUAGCGGUGAAAUGCGUAGAUAUCCGGAGGAACACCGGUGGCGAAGGCGGCUUCCUGGACCGACACUGACGCUGAGGCGCGAAAGCUAGGGGAGCAAACGGGAUUAGAUACCCCCGUAGUCC